rnacentral:lncRNA from 1 species
UUUAUUUCUCCAAAUAUUCUCUUAAGUACUAUUUGUCAACUUAUAAACACAUGUUCAGUCCAAACUUACGAUAUCAAAGAUUGAAUUUAACCCGGAUUUUUUAGCGAAGCCAUGUGAAAUCAUUGAUUUUAAAGGUGUGUAGUUCUGUUCUGUCAUUCUCUAUUCAUAACUUGUGUUUACACGAAUCUUCAGAAUGUGCAUAUUUAUGUGGGUUUCAUUGGUGAACCAGUGGCGCAUGGAAGCUAAAUAUACUGUUAAUGGCAGUUGAAGCUGUGUGUUCACUGUUGGCACAUUGAAUGAUUGACAGCAUUGGAUAAAUAAUGCUCUAUUGGAUAAAUACGUAAAGUACAUUGGACAGCUGAGAUUGUGGUGUGGACAGCUGAGAUUGUGUUUUGGACAGCUGAGAUUGUGACUUGGACAGCUGAUAUUGUGGUGUGGACAGCUGAGAUUGGUGUGGCCAGCUGAGAUUGUGGUGUUGACAUCUGAAAUUGGGAUUUGGACAGCUGAGAUUGUGACUUGGACAGCUGAGAUUGUGCUGUGGACAGCUAAAAUUGUGGUGUGGACUACUGAUAUUGUGGUGUUGACAACAUAUUGUGGUGUGAUGGUUUAAAGUAGCAAAGGUAAAGAACGUUUGACAGCUUAGAUUGUGGAGUGGACAGCUGAGAUUGUCAUGUCGGCUACUUAUAUUGUGGCUUGCAGAGCUGAUAUUGUGGUGUGAUGGUUUAAAGUACUAAAGAUUUAUUCCUUACUACCUUCCUGUCAACUAUAUCUUCCACAGCAUGAUUCAAUCUAGUCCCAAUCAUUGCCUCUGGAUACCUCACCAGAUGGUCCGUCCACAGAGUCACAAGCAACAGAUACUAAAACUCGGCAAAGUACAUGUACUUCAGUCUUCCAGAGGAUAUUGUUAACAAUGAUGAUU